ACGGAAGGCAGCAGUAGGGAAUCUUCGGCAAUGGGGGCAACCCUGACCGAGCAACGCCGCGUGAGUGAAGAAGGUUUUCGGAUCGUAAAGCUCUGUUGUAAGAGAAGAACGUUGAGUAGAGUGGAAAGUUACUCAAGUGACGGUAUCUUACCAGAAAGGGACGGCUAACUACGUGCCAGCAGCCGCGGUAAUACGUAGGUCCCGAGCGUUGUCCGGAUUUAUUGGGCGUAAAGCGAGCGCAGGCGGUUUAAUAAGUCUGAAGUUAAAGGCAGUGGCUCAACCAUUGUUCGCUUUGGAAACUGUUAAACUUGAGUGCAGAAGGGGAGAGUGGAAUUCCAUGUGUAGCGGUGAAAUGCGUAGAUAUAUGGAGGAACACCGGUGGCGAAAGCGGCUCUCUGGUCUGUAACUGACGCUGAGGCUCGAAAGCGUGGGGAGCGAACAGGAUUAGAUACCCUGGUA
rnacentral:rRNA from 1 species